rnacentral:rRNA from 1 species
AGGAAUCUACCCAGUAGUGGGGAAUAACUUCGGGAAACCGGAGCUAAUACCGCAUACGCCCUGAGGGGAAAGCGGGGGAUCUUCGGACCUCGCGCUAUUGGAUGAGCCUACGUCCGAUUAGCUAGUUGGUAGGGUAAAAGCCUACCAAGGCGACGAUCGGUAGCUGGUCUGAGAGGACGAUCAGCCACACUGGGACUGAGACACGGCCCAGACUCCUACGGGAGGCAGCAGUGGGGAAUAUUGGACAAUGGGCGAAAGUGAUCCAGCCAUGCCGUGUGUGUGACGAAGGCCUUCGGGUUGUAAAGCACUUUCAGUGGGGAAGAAGGUGAAGAGGUUAAUAGCCUUUUUAUUUGACAUUACCCACAGAAGAAGCACCGGCUAACUCCGUGCCAGCAGCCGCGGUAAUACGGAGGGUGCGAGCGUUAAUCGGAAUUACUGGGCGUAAAGCGCACGUAGGCGGUUCAUUAAGUUGGAUGUGAAAGCCCUGGGCUCAACCUGGGAAUUGCAUCCAAAACUGGCGAACUAGAGUAUAGUAGAGGGGGGUAGAAUUCACGGUGUAGCGGUGAAAUGCGUAGAUAUCGUGAGGAAUACCGAUGGCGAAGGAGCCCCCUGGACUAAUACUGACGCUGAGGUGCGAAAGGUGGGGAGCGAACAGGAUUAGAUACCCUGGUAGUCCACGCCGUAAACGAUGAGAACUAGCUGUUGGGACGAUUGAGUCUUGGUGGCAAAGCUAACGCAUUAAGUUCUCCGCCUGGGGAGUACGGCCGCAAGUUAAAACUCAAAUGAAUUGACGGGGGCCCGCACAAGCGUGGAGCAUGUGGUUUAAUUCGAUGCAAC